rnacentral:snRNA from 1 species
UGAUGAACGCUCUUUAAUGU